AACGAACGCUGGCGGCAGGCCUAACACAUGCAAGUCGAGCGCACCCUUCGGGGCGAGCGGCGGACGGGUUAGUAACGCGUGGGAACGUACCCUUUUCUAUGGAAUAGCCUCGGGAAACUGAGAGUAAUACCAUAUAAGCCCUUCGGGGAAAGAUUUAUCGGGAAAGGAUCGGCCCGCGUUAGAUUAGAUAGUUGGUGGGGUAAUGGCCUACCAAGUCUACGAUCUAUAGCUGGUUUUAGAGGAUGAUCAGCAACACUGGGACUGAGACACGGCCCAGACUCCUACGGGAGGCAGCAGUGGGGAAUCUUAGACAAUGGGCGCAAGCCUGAUCUAGCCAUGCCGCGUGUGUGAUGACGGUCUUAGGAUCGUAAAGCACUUUCGCCAGGGAUGAUAAUGACAGUACCUGGUAAAGAAACCCCGGCUAACUCCGUGCCAGCAGCCGCGG
rnacentral:rRNA from 1 species